UACGUAGGGGGCAAGCGUUGUCCGGAAUCAUUGGGCGUAAAGCGCGUGUAGGCGGCUCGGUAAGUCCGCUCUGAAAGUCCAGGGCUCAACCCUGGGAUGCGGGUGGAUACUGCCGGGCUCGAGUCCGGAAGAGGCGAGUGGAAUUCCCGGUGUAGCAGGUGGAAAUGCGCAGAUAUCAGGAGGAACACCGGUGGCGAAGGCGGGGUCUCUGGGCCGAUACUGACGCUGAGGAGCGAAAGCGUGGGGAGCGAACAGG
rnacentral:rRNA from 1 species